UACGUAGGGGGCUAGCGUUGUCCGGAAUCAUUGGGCGUAAAGAGCGUGUAGGCGGCUUGGUAAGUCCGCUGUGAAAGUCCAGGGCUCAACCCUGGAAAGCCAGUGGAAACUGUCAAGCUAGAGUCCGGAAGAGGCGAGUGGAACUCCUGGUGUAGCGGUGAAAUGCGUAGAUAUCGGAAGGAACACCAGUGGCGAAAGCGGCUUCCUGGUCCAGCACCGACGUUCAGGCACGAAAGCGUGGGGAGCAAACAGG
rnacentral:rRNA from 1 species